CUAGAGUGCGGUAGGGGAGAUUGGAAUUCCUGGUGUAGCGGUGGAAUGCGCAGAUAUCAGGAGGAACACCGAUGGCGAAGGCAGAUCUCUGGGCCGUAACUGACGCUGAGGAGCGAAAGGGUGGGGAGCAAACAGGCUUAGAUACCCUGGUAGUCCACCCCGUAAACGUUGGGAACUAGUUGUGGGGACCAUUCCACGGUUUCCGUGACGCAGCUAACGCAUUAAGUUCCCCGCCUGGGGAGUACGGCCGCAAGGCUAAAACUCAAAGGAAUUGACGGGGACCCGCACAAGCGGCGGAGCAUGCGGAUUAAUUCGAUGCAACGCGAAGAACCUUACCAAGGCUUGACAUAUACGAGAACGGGCCAGAAAUGGUCAACUCUUUGGACACUCGUAAACAGGUGGUGCAUGGUUGUCGUCAGCUCGUGUCGUGAGAUGUUGGGUUAAGUCCCGCAACGAGCGCAACCCUCGUUCUAUGUUGCCAGCACGUAAUGGUGGGAACUCAUGGGAUACUGCCGGGGUCAACUCGGAGGAAGGUGGGGAUGACGUCAAAUCAUCAUGCCCCUUAUGUCUUGGGCUUCACGCAUGCUACAAUGGCCGGUACAAAGGGCUGCAAUACCGUGAGGUGGAGCGAAUCCCAAAAAGCCGGUCCCAGUUCGGAUUGAGGUCUGCAACUCGACCUCAUGAAGUCGGAGUCGCUAGUAAUCGCAGAUCAGCAACGCUGCGGUGAAUACGUUCCCGGGUCUUGUACACACCGCCCGUCAAGUCAUGAAAGUCGGUAACACCUGAAGCCGGUGGCCCAACCCUUGUGGAGGGAGCCGUCGAAGGUGGGAUCGGUAAUUA
rnacentral:rRNA from 1 species